CACCCUUGUCUUUUGCGUACUUCUUGUUUCCUUGGUGGGUUCGCCCACCACUAGGACAAACAUAAACCUUUUGUAAUUGCAAUCAGCGUCAGUAACAAAUUAAUAAUUACAACUUUCAACAACGGAUCUCUUGGUUCUGGCAUCGAUGAAGAACGCAGCGAAAUGCGAUAAGUAGUGUGAAUUGCAGAAUUCAGUGAAUCAUCGAAUCUUUGAACGCACAUUGCGCCCUUUGGUAUUCCAAAGGGCAUGCCUGUUCGAGCGUCAUUUGUACCCUCAAGCUUUGCUUGGUGUUGGGCGUCUUGUCUCUAGCUUUGCUGGAGACUCGCCUUAAAGUAAUUGGCAGCCGGCCUACUGGUUUCGGAGCGCAGCACAAGUCGCACUCUCUAUCAGCAAAGGUCUAGCAUCCAUUAAGCCUUUUUUCAACUUUUGACCU
rnacentral:rRNA from 4 species